UUGUUUUUAUUAUAGUACUAUUAAACUAAACCCUCAUUUGCUAAUUGAUAAACCUCUCCUUGUAUUUAUUGUAAGUUUUCCCACGGUUGCACUUCGCCCUCUCCCCGAUUACUUGGAUUAAGUUCCAUGACAGAAAGCUAGAACAUACAGACGUACACAUCUGGCGUUAAAGUGCGCCCUCCCGGCACACUGACUCAGUUUGGGCCCUUUAAAUUAAAAGUACGUCCGUUUAGCGGAGCACGAGUUGAGGUUUCCACUUCGUCCUCCAUUCGAUCCCCGGCUCGUUAGGAGCCUCAGAACGAAGCGAAGUACCUCCCGAUUUGUGUCGAUUCUUCCCCACGGCUCCCUUACGGUCCGGAGCUUGGACACGACCAAAUCGGUCUAAUAAUUCGGUUUCUAUUGCGUUCACCCCCUCAGCUCCAUGCGGAGCUUGGACGUAACAGAUUGCUUAUCAUAUUAAAAAAUAAUCUUUCUUAUCAUAAACUUAAUGGAUUCGUAUCAUAUUACAGAAGUAUAUCCGAGAGUCAACAUAUUAAAUCAUCGGAUGAUAGCCCAAGAAAGAAAAAAAUGCGUUUGAAAAUCAAGAGAGUACAGGCACAAAAUAAAACGCUACGUGUAACAGUACGACAACUUUGUUUGAAAAAAAAGAAAAUUAAGAAGUAAUAUCAACCAAGAAGCUCAAGAAGAAGUGAAAAUCUCUCUGUGACUCCUUCAAAACACAUUGUAAAAAAAAGAAGUUAUCGAGUGGAUCUGUGGCUUCAUCAUGUAGUUCGUGAAUCCAUUAUGACAGCAUGCAAUUUCUUUUAGAUGUUCAACUAUAAGGCUUAAUGACAACGAACGCAUAGAACACUGAAACUCUAGCAAUGAAUGAUACUGAGGAGGCAGUGAAUAAAAAUUAUGAAAUGGAUACUAACAUUUCAUCCGACAGAUGUACCAGUAACUUAUCAGGAAACAGUGCUACCAGUAAGCGGAGGAGACUUGAUGGUGACGAUGAUCUACAAGACUUAGUGGAAACUUUAGUGAA